CAACCAAGUUAGAUUUUUUCCCCACGUUCAGUUUCUUCUUCUUCCUGCUCUGUCCACCAUACGGCUGUUCUCUCCCAAAUCACCACCCUUCAAUCAGCCAUCAACUGCUCAAUUACCACCCUUCAAUCAGCCCAUAAACCUAACGACCGAAGUGAGCACAGGGAUAGCUUUUAGGUAUCGUUUAUUGACUUUUGUUUGUUGGGUUGCUAUCAAUUUGCAGGGAAAUAAUGUGAAAUGUAAAUUGGGUUAUUGGAUUGUUAAAAUUUCGAUUAUUGGGUUGCUAUCAAUUUGUUUACUGGGUUGUAGGGGAAUAUCAUAGAUCAAAAGAAACUCAACAAUUUUCAGUAAAACUAGGGUUCAAAUUCGAUUGAAAUUUUAUGGUUUCAAAAUUAUCAUCAUGUUUCGUUUCCGUAGCUUCUGAUUGUGCUUUAACCAAAUUAUGAGAUAGAAGUAUCGAUAGACUACUUUACCUUUUUCUUUUUCUUUUUUUGGCCUCUUUAUUUUUGUGGGAACCGAGAGACCCAAUGUGCACUGAAACAUUUAUCAAAAUGUAAAGCAAUUGCACUGAAAACAAAAACAUUUUGUUUCACUGGUUUGGUCUGAAUUCAAGUUUUCUACACAGUGAGCUUGUGUAAGAUUGUUCUUGGCAGCCUGAUUGAUCAUUUGCCUUGGUGGUGAUAGCUCUUUAAACACUAUGUUCAAUUCUCUUUGUGGUGCUUUCCGUUUGAUCUGAAGCCAAGAAAUUAUCAUUGAGUGUUUCAUAACAUGUCUUCUCAUGUGUAAAUGAAAUAUCAUACGGGUUGUGUAGUAUGUUUCUCUUUGAUCACUUUCGAUAUAUAUCAUAGAGUGUAGCUCGCAAUUUGUUUUCAAGGAAGUUUUAUAUUCAAAUACUUUAAUUCUGUUAAUAUCUUUUCAGUUAGCUGAUGCAAAGGACAAAAUCUCUUCAAUCCUUCUGAUUGCGGUUCUAGAUGUCCUGUUUUGACACCGAAUAUUAAAGUAAGUUGCUUUCAAAGAUAACAACAUUUAAAGUACGGUAUUGCAACUUCUUGAGG
rnacentral:lncRNA from 1 species